rnacentral:lncRNA from 1 species
ACUGGAUCUCUCCACCAACAGGAACUGGGGAGCACUGGUGCUGUGAUUGUUGGCCGGCUCAGACUGGCAGGUGGUAAGAUCUGUGUGGUGGUGAAGCCUGAAUCUGCCAGUUUUAAGAACUGGAAGAGAUGGAAGAUCUUCUUGUCUAGCAGUUUCAAAUUAUUUCCAGGAGCUGAAGGAAGAAGAAAAAGGAGAAGGAGGAAGAGGAGGAAGAAGAGAAGAAAGAGGAGGAGGAGGAAGAAGAGGAGGAGGAAGAGGAGAAGGAAAAGGAGGAGGGUGGAAGAGGAGGAGGAAGAGGAAGAGGAGGAGGAGGAUGAGAAGGAGUAGCAGUCGUUGUUGUAGUGGUUUUGAAGGCAGAAGGAGUCACCUUGGGGAUGCAAGUACAGAGGACAAAUCACGUGAUAAUCCAGCAGGAAGGUGGCCACCUGGAAGCCAUGGAGAGAGGUCUCAGUAGAAAUUUAGCCUGAUGACAUGUUGAUCUUAGCCUUCCAGAACUGCAAGAUUAGACAGUGGGGAAAAGAAUGUAUAGGCUCUGUGAUUACUAUGUGUGAAAACGUAAAGACACAAAGUUAUGGCGUGGACAGAGAAAGGAAUGUAUAUGUUCAAGCCACCAAGUCUACGCUACUUUCUGAGGCAUCUGUAGCAAACUGAUGGAACCAAAGGAAAAACGUUCAAGUUAGAGGAGUGUUAGGUGUUUGAGGAAAAAAAAAAAAAAAGAGAGCAGAAGGGAUUAAUUUUGCAUGGCUGCUAGAAGGAAAAAAGUUUUAAUUUUGACAAAUGGGAAGCCGUUGAAACGUUUGGAGUUUGGAGCAGGUCACUAAUAUGGUCUCACUUUAACCUUUAUGCACCCUGCGACUUGAAUAUAGCAGGCUCAUCUUGUUAAGGCCUUCACAACUGUCAACAGUGUAGGAUGGAAAGGGCAGAGAAGACUGAAGAACACAGGGAGAGCUUUCCCACUUCCAUUUACAGCUGAGAGUUUGCACACCUGGAAAGGCCCUAACUUGCCUGAUGUGACACAAUAAUUAUACAGCAGUCACAGACUCAGGAUCUUUCUGACUUUGUGGGUAGGAGAGGGGUGCUUUUGAUAUCUUAUGUUAAAAACGCAGGUUUGAUGUCCUGAUAUUUUAGGAAAGCUGGAUUUCUCCCUUUGAAGAAAUAUUGACAUUAAUGAGUUAUAAUGGCCAUGGAAUACACAGUGAGACUCGGCUGCUCACCCAUGAUUCCAUAAGCCAAGGACUUGUAGCUGGAUAGACUCGUAGGAACAAAUGGAAAUUUUUCAUGGCUCUAGUCACAUCUGCUUCCACAGGUGUCCUUCAUGGCAGAUCAUUUCACUGGAAGGACAAUUUUCAGAGAUGAUAGUAUGAAGGACUGACCUCUAAACCAGUCUUCAGAAUAUUAGCAGGGUAGCCUCCUAGUUAAAAAAAG